AGAAAAAGAAAAAGAAAACCAUCCCAAAAGCAAUAAGAACUAAAUAAUUCACCACAGGCUCUAGAAUUGAUGAAUCAAAACUUAAGCUGCAUGACGAUGGGAAAGUCCUAUCUGUUGUCAUAUUAGAAAUUUGGAACACUUUACAUUGAAAAUAUAUUGAUAUUGGAGGAAGAACAAUGCUGAGAAUGCCCUAGCCUCCUAGAUGCUAGAAUGAAAAACGUACAAGGAAAAUAUGAUUUUAUGCUUCUACCAUCAGCUAAAUUAAGCUUGAACUUGGCCAGAGUAACAUUCUAUACACAGAAUAGAACUCAUAGAACAUAUCACAUAUAGGAACUAGCGAGAAAAAGAAAAACAAUUUAUUGUUGACUCCUUGCACAAAUAAAAAAUGCUUACCUCAAGACAAACAAAAGAUGAUGGUGCACAGCUGCAUACUACAGCAAAAAGAUACAAAUAUUGCUGGCAUAUGAUGCAUGUAGGAUCUUUCGAAGAAGAUCUGGUGAAAUUUGUCAAAUACACUUCAGAACACACUCAUAAUCAAAAAUUCAAGAAGCAACACCAAAGUUAAAGUACCUCCUCCGUGCCCACAUAUUCAGGCUUCAGACGAGGCGGCAUGGCAGAAGAAUUAACAAUGUGUUAUGAAAUAAUAUAAAAGACAAGAACAAUAACUCAAGAACAAGAGCAAUAGAGAGA
rnacentral:lncRNA from 1 species